rnacentral:rRNA from 1 species
GACGAACGCUGGCGGCGUGCUUAACACAUGCAAGUCGAACGAUGAACCCGGAGCUUGCUCCGGUGGAUUAGUGGCGAACGGGUGAGUAACACGUGAGUAACCUGCCCUUGACUCUGGGAUAACUGCGGGAAACUGUAGCUAAUACCGGAUACGACCCUCGGAGGCAUCUCCUGGUGGUGGAAAGAAUUUCGGUCAAGGAUGGACUCGCGGCCUAUCAGAUAGUGGGUGAGGUAAAGGCUCACCAAGGCGACGACGGGUAGCCGGCCUGAGAGGGUGACCGGGCAGACUGGGACGCGGAGACGGCCCAGAUUCCUACGGGAGGCAGCAGUGGGGAAUAUUGCACAAUGGGGGCCAGCCUGGUGCAGCGACGCCGCGUGAGGGAUGACGGGCUUCGGGUUGUAUACCUCGUUUAGCAGGGAAGAAGCGAAGGUGACGGUACCUGCAGAAAAAGCACCGGCUAUCUACGUGCCAGCCGCCGCCGUAA